rnacentral:rRNA from 1 species
UACGAAGGGGGCUAGCGUUGUUCGGAAUUACUGGGCGUAAAGCGCACGUAGGCGGCUUUGUAAGUUAGAGGUGAAAGCCUGGAGCUCAACUCCAGAAUUGCCUUUAAGACUGCAUCGCUUGAAUCGCGGAGAGGUGAGUGGAAUUCCGAGUGUAGAGGUGAAAUUCGUAGAUAUUCGGAAGAACACCAGUGGCGAAGGCGGCUCACUGGACGCGUAUUGACGCUGAGGUGCGAAAGCGUGGGGAGCAAACAGG